UUCUGGGUGGAGUUGGGUUUGAACCAAUUUUGCAGGUUGUGCAUCAAAAUAGAGUUUGUGGAAUUGUUGUGGCUUAACUAGUGACCUGCCAUAUCAGGUUCUGACUUGAUGCAAGAUGACACGUUUGGGAGCCGUCUAUAUCGUUCCCAUUGUGAGCCACUUGUGAAGAUACUAUGAAAGAUCUAAGGGGCUGCACAUGAGUGAUGGAAUUGUGGGAUUAGAUUAGUGUAGGAUGGAAUCAGAUUCAUUUGUAAUGGGUGAAGCUUGGGUAUAGGACUUUGUUAACUUGGUUUGUGUUAUUGUAAAUGGGAUUGAAUCAUAACUUAAAUGGAAAUGUUGUAAGUAAAGAUGUAAUUUGGGUGAAUAUUGUAAUGAAAUUGAAUUUGAAAGUUGUAAUAAAAUCAAAUUUGCAUGGAAAAUUAUGGAAUUGAAAGUAGAAAGGUUA